UCCUUCUUAGCUCAGUUGGUAGAGCGCGUCACUAGUACAAGGCAUUGGGCUUCGUCUUACUUAUGACGAGGUCAGUCGUUCAAGUCGGCUAGAAGGAA